rnacentral:pre_miRNA from 1 species
GCACCUUCGUAGCGGCGUAUAAUGGUUUUCGCUCGCGAGCUGGGGUGCUGACCAAAGUCAUAAACGCCGCCGGAACUGU